rnacentral:rRNA from 1 species
AGAGUUUGAUCAUGGCUCAGGAUGAACGCUAGCGGCAGGCUUAACACAUGCAAGUCGAGGGGUAUUGGUUUUCGGACCAAGAGACCGGCGCACGGGUGCGUAACGCGUAUGCAAUCUACCUUUUGCAGAGGGAUAGCCCAGAGAAAUUUGGAUUAAUACCUCAUAGUAUAGUACAAUCGCAUGAUUGAACUAUUAAAGUCACAACGGCAAAAGAUGAGCAUGCGUCCCAUUAGCUAGAUGGUAAGGUAACGGCUUACCAUGGCAACGAUGGGUAGGGGUCCUGAGAGGGAGAUCCCCCACACUGGUACUGAGACACGGACCAGACUCCUACGGGAGGCAGCAGUGAGGAAUAUUGGACAAUGGGCGCAAGCCUGAUCCAGCCAUGCCGCGUGCAGGAUGACGGUCCUAUGGAUUGUAAACUGCUUUUGCACAGGAAGAAACACUCGGUCGUGACCGAGCUUGACGGUACUGGAGAAUAAG